CUACGGGAGGCUCCAGCUAAGAAUCUUCCACAAUGGACGAAAGUCUGAUGGAGCGACGCCGCGUGAACGAUGAAGGCCGUGAGGUUGUAAAGUUCUUUUCAUGAGGAGGAAUAAGGGGAGCAGGGAAUGGCUCUCCGAUGACGUUAAUCAUGGAAUAAGCCCCGGCUAACUACGUGCCAGCAGCCGCGGUAACACGUAGGGGGCGAGCGGUGUUCGGAAUUAUUGGGCGUAAAGGGUGCGCAGGUGGCAUGGCAAGUCUGGUGUAAAAGUUCUCGGCUUAACCGAGUGAGGCGCUGGAAACUGUUGUGCUUGAGUACAGGAGGGGAUGUUGGAAUUCCAGGUGUAGGGGUGAAAUCUGUAGAUAUCUGGAAGAACACCGGUGGCGAAGGCGGACAUCUGGCCAUGUACUGACACUGAGGCACGAAGGUGCGGGGAGCAAACAGGAUUAGAUACCCCCGUAGUC
rnacentral:rRNA from 1 species